rnacentral:lncRNA from 1 species
AAAGAUUGAGGUGUAAAACCAUACAGAGUUUAUCCGAACUGUAUAUAGAUUAAUUUGAAUCAGCUAUCUAAACUUUCAAAAUUUUGAUUUAACUAUCCAACCUUUCAAUGUAUUUGAUUUGAGUUGGUCAACAAAACUUUGAGUUUAAAAUUUAAGCAAAUUACUUACUUAAUUUAAUAAAUUUAUAGUUGCAAAAGUUAUAUAAGCUAUAUUACUUAAAUUGUAAAGAUAAAUGACACAUUUCAAUUUUGAAGUCAAAUAAACUAAAUUAAAAGAUUGAAUAGUAAAAUUAAAAUUUUGAAAAACUGAGUAGCCAAAUCAAAAUUGUCGAUUUAAUUCAGAUAAAUUUUAUACGUUUUUACCUAAGCGAAGGUUUGAAAGGUACACUUAACUAUCCACUUCAUAAAAACCACGUCCCGAUCGCAGAAUCUCAUUUUUAUUCAUUUUUUUACUAUUCGUGAAACUAAUCUA